GGAGCAGAAUGGUACUAUACAUC
rnacentral:siRNA from 1 species